UGUGCGCUAGGGUGAUCUCUAGUUUCUCUUUCUACUACAAAAAAAGUAAGUAAUUUGCAAGAUGGGGGAGUGGGGAAGGAAGAGGAUAAAGUUUGUCCAGUGGGACGUGGUGAUGUCUUUUCCGGGGAAACCUCUCUGGAGAAUCAGCCUGGUGACACAUAUAUAACUGUCUUUCCAGCCCUGCUGACACACCUCACAGUUUUUCACUUUGCGUAGAAGCAGAGACAAAAGACCCUUCUUUUAUCUCCUGCAGUUUCGUUUGGGUCUCAGUACCAGCCCGUGCACAUGGCACGCCUCGUUCUUGCUGAUACAACCGUUCUAUUUUUCAGCAGUGCAGCUGGCAAGCCUGGAAACAGCAGAAACACGACCCAAGGGCCUGCCAUUGCACACUGCAUUACAUGUGAUAGCCAAAGCUGUUCGGCUUUUCACACCACUAGAAAUUCAAUAGGGAUGUUGAACACAUGUAGCACAUGUAACAGUCCUGGCUGGUAGCAAGCCUACGGUUUCUUUGUGUAUUUUUUUCCCUGCUGCUCUGCUGUCUUUGCAGAAGACAUUUUUACUUAGUGUGCUGUACCUCCAUUUGAAGCAAAUGUGCCAACCUUCCCUUCCCCCCUCCAGCAGGCUUGGGUUUUGUUUUUGUUGUUAGUGGUGAUGGUUUGUUUUCAAAGUACAGCCUUCCUGAUAAUUUUGCCAAUAGGAUUCUUUAUAGCUGUAUUAGCAAACGCACCCUCGUUCACAUACAGAUAAGGGUGCAAAAUGCACAUAAUCUCCAAUUUAUUAGCUUGGGUCACAGGAUAUUAUCAAGAACUGAUGUUAAGACUAAGUGGCAUUAGCAGGACCUUCCUAUCAGAACAACAUUCAUUGUCAGUUACAUUACUAGAGCAGCAGUUGUGCUACAUUAUAAAUAAUUAUAUUAUCCACAUUCAGCUUGUAUUGUUGUACACAAGGCUGGUGCCAUAUCACACUUCAUUAACAUGCUAGACAGGACAGCUCCCACAGAAAUACAUUUCCUGACGCUUUCCAUUUGAAAUAUUAUUCUACUAAUUAACAUACUGUAGAUCAGAAAUGACACAUGCCAGGUAAAAAUUAGCUUUCCUAUAUUAAUAGAGGAAGAGCAUUAAUUAAAAGCCAUUCUGCUGAAAAUGAUCACUUUACAAACUUACAGAGAAGCUGUCAAGGUUGGUAAAUCCCAGAUUUAACACCCUUUGUUUUCCUGUCUCUCUCUGCAAAGUCCCUAUAAUUCUCUGUGUCUUUGUCAUCACAAAAGCGUAAUUGCUCUUUAAAAACAAAUCAGCAACCUGGCAUAGAAGAACAAACCUAUGAUACCACAUCAGUGUGAUUUCGGAAUGGAGGUAACCAAAGAGGUCUUGUUCCUUUUUCCAGAGGGGAGGGGCAGGAAGUGGUUGCUACAUUGUUAAAUAUUAUUUUUUUUAAAUGAUUGUGCCUGGUGCUGUAUAAAACAUGAUUAGCUCUGCUCCUUUCUUUGAUCAGCCCUUCCUGGGUGGGACAAGCUCUGCCAGGAGCCUGUCAAAGGUGGGGAAGAGGCAGAACUUUACCUCCUAUUCCCUCUGUCCCUUGCUUCCCUCCUUCCAAUGGCUCUGGCACCCCAUCUCUUACAGGGCCAGAGCAGGAGGCUUGUGCUGACUAGGCUGUGUUACUGAUUCCUCAGACUCAGGUUGCAAUGUUGUCACCUGACAAGUUUGGCACAUGGCUUGUGUGAAACAUACGCUGGCUAUAUGGUAAGAGAGAAGUGGGGCAGCACAAAACAUUUCAUAGUGAGGAAAGAGCAUGUCUGAGACAAACAUUUGUAGUUUUAAAGAACCCAACCGCAUUGUUUGAUGAGAAGAAAAGCCAGAACCUUUCAGAUGUUCUGAAAAGAAGUUGUUAGGACAUCAGGACAGCCUAUGAAAAACAGGAGUUGGUUAUUAUGUUUCCCAGCAUGCAAACAGAGGAGCAGAUGAAAACAAAUAUUCUAGUUUUGAGAAUGCAGAACACACAAGAACUCAAAACCACAGGGAGCACGCACACGCAUGUGCUCAUGCAGGCUUUUCCCUAAGGCAGAGAGGUACAACUCACCCCACCUUGCUUUAAGCUAGCUCUUCCCAGACUGACUCUGCUGCUGGCCCCCUACACUUUGCUACAGAGCCCUCUAGCUUGCAAGCAGGAUCAGGAAACCCAUGCUCUUAAAGUGAUAGCGGACACCUCCACCACAGUCCUCAACACGCUGCAAUUCUAGCAACUCCUUCACUCAGGGAUUGGCUCUGAAUGGAAAAACAUAGAAAUGUAGGACUGGAAGAGACCUCGAUAAGUCAUCUAGUCCAGUCACCUGCACUGAGACAGGACUAAGUAUUACCUAGACCUUCCCUGACAACUGUUUGUCUAACCUGUUCUUAAAAACCGCUAAUUAUGGAGAUUUCAGAACCUCUGUAGUCCAUUUGUUCCAGUGCUUAACUACCUUUACAGUUCGGAAAUUUUCCAGAACAUCUAACCUAAAUCUCACUUGCUGCAAUUUAAGCCCAUUGCUUCUUGUCCUGUCCUCAAUGGUUAAGGAGAAAAAUUUAUCAUCCUCCUCUUUAUAGAAUCUUUUACGUGAAGACUGUUAAGUCCUCCCCUCAGUCUUCUCUUCUCCAGACUAAACAUACCCAAUUUUUUCAAUCUUCCCUCAUAGGUCAUGUUUUCUAGACUUUGUCAUUUUUGUUGGUCUCCUCUGGACUUUCUCCAAUUUUGACCACAUCUUUCCCAAAUUGUGGUGCCCAGAAUGGACCCAAUGCUUCAGUUGAGAAGGGGCGCUCCUCUUACAGAAGUAGGUGCCUUUGUAGAUAGCCUUCAGCUUAGCUCCCAACUGAGAAAUGGCUGUAAAUGUCAACAAGCAGAGGUGAUACAGACACAAACACACACACGUAAGCAGCUAGGAGUCUGAGUGCAGCUCAGCUCCUUGUUUCAUCAGAUCAAUUUACAUUGAUUUUCUUUUUCAAGGUUAUCUGUGCAAGGAGAUGUGCUAGAAACACACUUACUUUCUCAACAGAAGCUGAGAUUUCCCCUUUACAGAGCGCAGAAGCUGGUUCUGUUAAGGCGUUCAUGUGUAGAACUGAAGGAAUUUUUUUUCUGAUGAAUUUUUUCGGCAGAUAAAUGCAGAUUCAGCAACAUGAAACAAGUUCACCUCAGUACCCCCAAGAUGUUUCAGUUGGAAAGAGAGUCUGAAAGAGCUUCUGAAAAAACAGAUAUUUUCUUUCAACAUUUUUGAAAUGAAAUCUUUUGAUUUUUACGUUUGAAACAACUUAAAAAAAAAUUAAAAGAAAUUUUGAAACAACCAAAAACGUUUUUAAAUGGUCAUAAUCAAAACAAAGUUUAUUUCAACCUUAAACACAGUAUUUUUUAACUUUUAAAUUCAUCAAAAAGUUAGAAAUGUUUCAAUUUUGAUUCACCACAAACAUUUUCCCUCCCUGGAAUUAUCAGCGAGCCAAAAAAAUAACCAUUAUUUUCUCAGCUAUAUUCACCUAUGCCUCCUCAUCAGAGGAUAAUGUUACUGGCCUGGUAGAAAAACUUGAGGCUCAAACUGCAGCUCAGAAGGAGGAGUGUAGUGCCGUGGCAGGAACAGAGUCCUCCUCUGUGGGCCUUCUAUUGCCCCAGUGUGGCUGCACGUCUCCCAGGGAAGAAGUCUGCACCUCCAGGGUGCACUGUAGCAGAGCUCUGGCCCACCAGCUAAUUGUCCCUCCAGUCUUACUUUCCCUGGUGGGGGAGUUGAGCCCCCAAAAGUUCCAAAAUAAAAGCAAAUCCAACUCAAUGCUGGACCAUCCCCCAGCCUUCCAGUGGGGCGCCCCAUCCUUCUCUUGCUCAUGCAUCGCUCGCUCGUGGCGUCUGACUGCUCCUGCUCCAGUUAGCAGCACAGAGGCAGAGCUCCAUCCUCCUUCCUGACCCGCCAGUCCACAACUGAGCCAGACUCUCUCUUUUUAUUCCCCCUCCACGCUUAGCAUUGGCUUCGUGUAUAGCGGAGGCAGGGCUAGCUGGGGGCCACAGGCUCUCCUUAACCCCUUCUCUGCUGGUGUAGGGCCUCUCUGCCCAUAACAAGGAUGGGGGGGGGGAAUGAAACUUAUGAAACUUAUAGUGAAAAUAUGUGCAGUUAUGUGCAACUUUGUCCUUUCACAGCCUAACAAGCCUCUUAUAUUUCAACUAUAAGUCACCAGGAGAAAGGCCUGUCAGAAAGACAGUGGGAGAUGAAAGCCCAUCCUCAAGAGGACCCAGCUGGUGAGAGCUGAUUGCAGAGUGCGCCUGCCACCGAACAGUAACUGAGGCCAUUUUCACGGUCUCUUAACAAUUUAUUUUCUGUUUACUCCCUUGCCUCCCUGUAUCUCUUCAGGCACACGCGAGUGACACAGACAAGAAGCAGCAGUCUUUUCAUGAUAAAUUGUCCCCGUUUUCCAGAUGACUGGGGAAGCACUGUAGAUUUUUCUACACCACAGAAUUCUAGUUUGCCCUAAGACGAUGGCCAGCUCUGAAAGAGCAGGUUUCUGAGAUGACUUUUGUAUCUCCCCUUUAAUACCUUUCUUGUUUGUCCCCCCAUCAUCCCUCCACUUAUCUUCAUUAGCACACAAUGAAGAAGUGGUCAUGGACCAAAGCCCCUUACACAUGUAAGCAGGGUCUGAAUGAACUCUCCCCUGACAGCUAGCUGGGAGGGGGAGAAACUUCAGAAGCAAACUGUAUUUACAUGAACACAGGUACUCUGCUUAGAUAUUCAGCAGAUAGAGCGGUGUUGCUCAAAAGUGAUCAACGUUGGCAGGUAUUGGGUUACAAAUCACUUUAGUGCUGAAUGCAGGGGCAGUGAAAUGCUGUUAUCAAUGUUCUUUUCUUUAUUGUAUGAAUAAAGGGGAGCAGAACUGUGCUUAACCUGUCCCAAAUGAAGGGAUCACCCUCAGCUAAUAGGACCUCGUUAAGCUAGGGGCUCAAAUGCCAGACCCCUGUGAAAGUAAAAGGGUUGGGAACAGAUGUCCCAGCCAGAAGGUGUGGAUUGUCCCUAUGCGUGCCUGGUCUGGUUUAACUUGUUCCUCUCCAAUGUUCAGAGAUAGAACUAAAUAGGCUUCAUUAGGAGGCUUUUGUUACGUUAAGUACUCAGUGAGAUCUGAAAUCACUUGUGCUGGGGCAGUGUUUUAGCUGAGAGCUAAAAAUCACUAAGAGACUGACCUACGGAGGUCGCAGCAGGAGGUGACUGAUGGGCAUGGCGAGCAGUCAGCUGGUAGCGCGGCCAGCCAAAUCAAGUGCUAAGACGGCGGAGCAAGCCAGGUGACUUCUUCCCCGGGUGGGAGGUGAACUCACACAGAGGCACUUCUGAACCCUGUGUCCUCACCGACCAAGGACAACCACUGUGAGUGGGGUGUGGUGAGGGAGCAGAGGGGAGCACAGUAAAGGAACUUUUGGUUGUAUAACUCAAGAACAUGAGGCAGAAGACUCUGCUCCAUGCACCCUGGGGUGGGCAUCCUGCUCACAGUUUUAGCUUUAUAAAUCAUGCUUGCAGCAUUUUCCCUAAUUAAUGUCGGGUGAUUUACCUCCUUUCAUUAAAAGUUUCUUUGCUAUA